CCAGAGGUCUCUUCUAACAUCCACUGUGCUGGGAUUGCAGCCUCAAGAAAGAGCCUGGGCUGGAGGGAGUGAGCAGAAUGCACUACAGAACCUGUGGCUGUUCCUGUCCAUGUCCAAGAGGCCUUCAGAAAGCAAGCUCUUGAGCACAGUGUGCUGGAGUGGGAUGUGCAAGAGGAGGGUCUGGGGUUCGUUGAUGGGUAUGUAGAAAGAUGAAGCCAAAGAGCUGCAGCAGGUACCAACAUGUCCAUUGCUCACAGCCUGGCAGCUUCCCUGCAGAUGUGAUUGGCCUUUUACAUGGGAUAAAGAAAGGAUUGUUGGACCUUCUUCAGAAAGGAAGAAGGAAAGCUGCUGUGGUAGAUUCAGCUCCAAGGCUGGUGUGUUCACUGGGAUCCAUAACUGGAGAGAAUCAUCUUCAUUUUUUACCAUGAGGAAAGAUUUCUGUUGUGUGAAGGUGCUGGAGCCCUGAAGCAGGCUAUCCAGAGAUGUUCUGGAGUCUCCUUCUCUGGAGAGAUUCCAAACCCACCUGGACACUGUGAUCCUGAGCAGCCUGGUCUGGGUGCCCCUGCUUUAGCAGGGGAGUUGAACUAGAUGAUCUCCAGAGGUCCUCUCCAAGCCCCACCAUGCUGAGCUUCUGUCAGGCUGCUGUCACAAUGGUGAUAAAUAUGGAAUCAUCUUGGAGUGCUUAUCACUGUUAUUGCUAAUCUCCUGAAGUGCUGUCUCCUAAGAUCUCUCUGAUCUGAUUCUGCCAAGUAUUUUCCUGACUCUGAUUAUUUUCUGUAGGAACUUGCAUGUUUUGAUGAAAAUGAUUUCAUUAAGCUGUAUCACAACUGUG